rnacentral:rRNA from 1 species
CCUACGGGAGGCAGCAGUAGGGAAUAUUGGACAAUGGGUGCGAGCCUGAUCCAGCCAUGCCGCGUGCAGGAAGAAGGCCUUCUGGGUUGUAAACUGCUUUUGCCGGGGGAUAAAAGACCCAUGCGUGGGGAAUUGAAGGUACCCGGUGAAUAAGCCACGGCUAACUACGUGCCAGCAGCCGCGGUAAUACGUAGGUGACGAGCGUUGUCCGGAUUUAUUGGGUUUAAAGGGUGCGUAGGCGGCCCCGUAAGUCAGUGGUGAAAUACGGCAGCUCAACUGUCGAGGUGCCAUUGAUACUGCGGGGCUUGAGUACAGUCGAGGUAGGCGGAAUUGACGGUGUAGCGGUGAAAUGCUUAGAUAUCGUCAAGAACACCGAUAGCGAAGGCAGCUUGCUAGGCUGUAACUGACGCUGAGGCACGAAAGUGCGGGGAUCAAACAGGAUUAGAUACCCUGGUAGUCCGCACAGUAAACGAUGGUCACUCGGUGUUGGCGGUACACGGGCCAGCGCCUUAGCGAAAGCGUUAAGUGACCCACGUGGGAGUACGCCGNGAAGGUGAACGUCAAUUGAAUUGACGNNGNGNGNGCGAGCGACGACGAGGGAGAGG